rnacentral:sRNA from 1 species
GUUCUUCUCAAGCGAGUCUAGGAUAGUGGAAGCUAGAUGGGAGAUAGGGUAAUAAUUGGCACUUUCGUAAUGAGCCUAGCUCAAUUUUUUUUAAACAAAUGAAGUAAUAAAUUAGGGUGGAACCGCGUUUCAACG